GGACGAACGCUGGCGGCGUGCCUAAUACAUGCAAGUCGAACGGUCUUUCUAUGGAAGCUUGCUUCCACUGAGAAGAUAGUGGCGAACGGGUGAGGUAACACGUGGGUAACCUGCCCAUAAGAGGGGGAUAACAUCCGGAAACGGGUGCUAAUACCGCAUAGUUUUCUUGAUCGCAUGAUUGAGAAAGGAAAGACGGCCUUUGUGCUGUCGCUUAUGGAUGGACCCGCGGCGUAUUAGUUAGUUGGUGAGGUAACGGCUCACCAAGACGAUGAUACGUAGCCGACCUGAGAGGGUGAUCGGCCACAUUGGGACUGAGACACGGCCCAAACUCCUACGGGAGGCAGCAGUAGGGAAUCUUCCGCAAUGGACGAAAGUCUGACGGAGCAACGCCGCGUGAGUGAAAGAAGGUUUUCGGAUCGUAAAACUCUGUUGUCAGAGAAGAACAAGUUGGAGAGUAACUGCUCCAGCCUUGACGGUAUCUGACCAGAAAGCCACGGCUAACUACGUGCCAGCCGCCGC
rnacentral:rRNA from 1 species